CUUAAGCAACUUCAUCUUUCUAAAUAAACAGUGGGUUGCCAUAGCAAUACAGUACCUGGGUCGCAAGAUUCCAGAGGUGAACAUCUCAUGGGCUAACCUCAUCGCUUGUUCCUUGGAACCUCAGGGGAACCACGUCUGAGAAACUUGAACUGUGUUGUUGCUGUUGUUUUCCAAAAAGUCAGUUAUGAUUUAAAAGCAAUGGUUAUCAUUGAGUACCCCAGUGGGACAAAUUGGUUGCCUUGGAAAACUCUGUGCCCAUCAACUCAGAAGACACCUGCUACAAAGUGUCCCUGAUGGAGAGAGCACUUCACAAAAUCCAGAGUAUGUGCAGGAAGAGAUUCUCUAAUUCAGCCCUCUGUCUCGUGGUUUAAUAAUCACCAACAGGAUAGAAGUGUCUAGAAUUUAAAUCCAAAAUGCCUUAGGAUUCAAAAUAAAGAUUAUUUUCUCUAACACA